rnacentral:rRNA from 1 species
UGCAGCCAAAGCUAUAUCACCCUGUAGCCCAAGACUGGUUGCCCACUGAAGCUAAGCAGGGCUGAGCCUGGUCAGUACCUGGAUGGAAGACCUCCUGGGAAAACUAGGUUGCUGCUGAAA